GCGUCAGUAGGUUGGUCGUGCCACCGGUACGUACUGGUCUCACUGAAUCCUCCUUCCUGAAGAACCGUAAUGCCAUUAAUUUGGUGUUGCGGGGAAACAGGACUGUUACUUUGAAAAAAUUAGAGUGUUUAAAGCAAGCUAACGCUUGAAUACAUUAGCAUGGAAUAAUGAAAUAGGACGAUCGAUCCUAUUUUGUUGGUUUCUAGGAUUGACGUA
rnacentral:rRNA from 1 species